rnacentral:rRNA from 1 species
UGAAGCCUUUCGGGGUGGAUUAGUGGCGAACGGGUGAGUAACACGUGGGCAAUCUGCCCUUCACUCUGGGACAAGCCCUGGAAACGGGGUCUAAUACCGGAUAACACUCUGUCCUGCAUGGGACGGGGUUAAAAGCUCCGGCGGUGAAGGAUGAGCCCGCGGCCUAUCAGCUUGUUGGUGGGGUAAUGGCCUACCAAGGCGACGACGGGUAGCCGGCCUGAGAGGGCGACCGGCCACACUGGGACUGAGACACGGCCCAGACUCCUACGGGAGGCAGCAGUGGGGAAUAUUGCACAAUGGGCGAAAGCCUGAUGCAGCGACGCCGCGUGAGGGAUGACGGCCUUCGGGUUGUAAACCUCUUUCAGCAGGGAAGAAGCGAAAGUGACGGUACCUGCAGAAGAAGCGCCGGCUAACUACGUGCCAGCAGCCGCGGUAAUACGUAGGGCGCAAGCGUUGUCCGGAAUUAUUGGGCGUAAAGAGCUCGUAGGCGGCUUGUCACGUCGGAUGUGAAAGCCCGGGGCUUAACCCCGGGUCUGCAUUCGAUACGGGCUAGCUAGAGUGUGGUAGGGGAGAUCGGAAUUCCUGGUGUAGCGGUGAAAUGCGCAGAUAUCAGGAGGAACACCGGUGGCGAAGGCGGAUCUCUGGGCCAUUACUGACGCUGAGGAGCGAAAGCGUGGGGAGCGAACAGGAUUAGAUACCCUGGUAGUCCACGCCGUAAACGUUGGGAACUAGGUGUUGGCGACAUUCCACGUCGUCGGUGCCGCAGCUAACGCAUUAAGUUCCCCGCCUGGGGGAGUACGGCCGCAAGGCUAAAACUCAAGGAAUUUGACGGGGGCCCGCACAAGCAGCGGAGCAUGUGGCUUAAUUCGACGCAACGCGAAGAACCUUACCAAGGCUUGACAUAUACCGGAAAGCAUCAGAGAUGGUGCCCCCCUUGUGGUCGGUAUACAGGUGGUGCAUGGCUGUCGUCAGCUCGUGUCGUGAGAUGUUGGGUUAAGUCCCGCAACGAGCGCAACCCUUGUUCUGUGUUGCCAGCAUGCCCUUCGGGGUGAUGGGGACUCACAGGAGACUGCCGGGGUCAACUCGGAGGAAGGUGGGGACGACGUCAAGUCAUCAUGCCCCUUAUGUCUUGGGCUGCACACGUGCUACAAUGGCCGGUACAAUGAGCUGCGAUGCCGCGAGGCGGAGCGAAUCUCAAAAAGCCGGUCUCAGUUCGGAUUGGGGUCUGCAACUCGACCCCAUGAAGUCGGAGUUGCUAGUAAUCGCAGAUCAGCAUUGCUGCGGUGAAUACGUUCCCGGGCCUUGUACCA